GUCGAUUCUCAGAAGCUCAUCAAGGGCGACGGGGUCGAUUUUCAGAAGCUCAUCAAGGACGGCGGGGUCGAGUGUCCGAAUCUUAUCAAAGAAGACAGGGUCAUUUUUCAGAAUCUCUUCAACGACGGCAAGAUCGCCAUCAGAGGGAACGACGUCGUUCUUACAGGACUUCGGGCGAACGACGGAAUUUGGGGGAACGACGCCGUUGUUACCGGAGUUUGGGGUAACAUCGUCGUUGUUACCGCGAUUUGGGGGAACCCAGCUCUCUGUUUGCCGUCCAG
rnacentral:lncRNA from 1 species